GAGGUGAGGCUGACACACAAGAAAGGAAUGACCACCCAGCACCGGGGACACAUUUCAGGCUGCACGAGAAAGAGGGCCUCCCUCAAGUCCGCACAAGGUGAGAUUGGGCCUCUUCAUAUGGUAGUGGCGAGGUCUCAGCAUAAGAAGAGAUACCUACUCAAAGUGAGAAGGGAUAGUUAGUUGGCCACAUCGAGUUACAAGGCCAUCCAUAUUGAAGAAAGUGAAGAAAGAGACUCUGCCGCUUGACAGGAAGCAAGGCAAAAGGACAUGGAUAUGGCAGGUUGUGAAAAAUUGGGUCACUUUUGAAAACAAUCAAUUUCACAGGUAUUAUCUCAUUUCCUCAAAAAGACAAAGUCAAAGCUCAGUUUUACAGGUAAAGCAGCUGAGGCACAGAGAAGAAAAGGAGCUUGCUCAAGGAGCUGCUAAUAGAGUUGAGAUUCAAACCCCGGUGUUUAUCACUCUACAGACAACACGUUAUUAACCCCUGUGAGUUACUGCCCACUCCACUCACAGACAAAGACCUAAGGAGGUCAGCAUCCCAGGAGGCCACUGUCUUUGUCAUCAUUGCCAUCAUCAUCACCAUCAUCACAUUUAUUGAAUAUCUGUGAUGUGCAGAUGCUAUCAGUGCUUUACAUGGAUUAAUUCAUUUAUUAUAAUUCACCCAAUGUCCCUAUAAGAUGUACAUUAAUGAUUUUCCCAUGUAACGUGGGUCAGGAUUAGAAAUUUCAUGACGACUUCACUCAUUUUGAUAUUCCCUCUAUAGCACAAUAUCUGGCACAUAGGUCAUACCCUCUUGCCAUAUGUUUGCUGAAUGAAUGAGGGCAGAAGUAGGGGAGUGAACAAGACUCAAGGCAAACAAUCAUUAGCCCAAAGUCACACAAAGCAGGACUAGAUCUCAAGAUCCCCCAUCUCCUUGCCAUGUGGCCCCUGGGCAGCCUUGUUACCUGGAUCUGCUGCUGCUCCACUCCCCCAAGGUGGCUGAAAAUAGAAAACAAGAUUCGGGAUGUGCUGUUCGGUCUUCCAGCAGGUGCCCCCAAACCAAACAUAGUCCCAGAAACGUAAAUCUGAGAAUGUUUUGAAACUACCUAGCACAGUGGAGAGAGCACUGGGCUCAGAGUCUGAAGACCCAUGUGUGCCACCCUUGGUUGAUGUGUGAUCCUGGAUGGGUCACUUGGAGAAGACCAGACUUUCCUCAUCAGAAAUCCAGGGCUUCAGAUUUUACAUCCUGUUUACAUUCCAGGACUGUGCGGGAGAUAAGAGGAGCUCACAGAUGCAAACUCUCCGUGAAGCUUGUACUUGACUCAACUCAUGGACCUCUCCGGGUUUGCUCAGCUCCACUGGUUGCACCCCCACCAACACCCCCAGCCUCACUUACUUGCUCAGGGGAGCACAGGCCCCACACCAGCUCAUCUCCUAAUUGCCACGGGCUCCACCUCCCACGGGGCAACGUCUGCACCUAGGCCUGGCCUCUUACCUUCCGUGGAACCACAGCAACUCUGGUGCCCUGGUCCAACCUGACUGGUCAUGCAGAGGCUCUGGCUUGUCUCACUGUUUCUAGACCCAGAUGAAGCACUCUGCCCUGAGAUGUAGCAUGUGGCUUCCCCAGCAGCUGUCUGAAGGGGCCACAACACUUUCAGGGGAGUUAAGGCCCGUAGGGUCAAUUUGGACCAGUGAAAGACAGAUGAUGGAAAAUCACCAGGAGAUGCCUCUUUCUUCCUCUGCUAGUCUUGGCUCUCUGGAGAUGUUACAUGGCUGAGUGACCUGGUGUGCUUUGCUCUGAAGCUGUGACAUGCUCAAUCAUGCACCACCCUGUGUUUUCUUUCUCUCCUUCCCUGCUUCACUUCCCGUCUUCCCUCAGUCUUCCCCCAGCUCACACCCUGGAAUGACACACAGGUACCUGAGCUUCACUGGAGAAUCUGUGGGUUAGGUAACCUAGUCGAAGAUAAAGAGAAGAAUUUGAGAAAGUUGUCAAUUUGCAACCACUCAAAAAAUCAGAAGAAGACUGUAUCUACUGCUGGCAAGGAUAUGGAGCAACCGGAAUGCUCUCGUACGCUGCUGGUGAGAAUGUAAAAUGGAACAGCCACUUUGGAAAAUGGGCAGUUUCUUAAAACAUUAAACAUACACCUACCAUAUGGCCCAAUCUUUCCACUUCUAGGUAUUUAUCCAAGAGAGAAAAAAAUACAUAUGUCUACACAAAGACUUGUACGAGAAUGUUUAUAGCAGCUUUAUUUAUAAUAGCCUCAAACUGGAAACAACUCAAAUGUCCCCCAACUGGUGAAUAUAUAGACAAAUGGUGGUAUAUUCAUACAAUGGAAUUUUACUCAGCAAUAAAAAUGAAUAAACUCUGGAUACCCACAACAUGCGUGAAUCUCUAAAUAAUUAUGCUAAGUGAAAAAGGCCAAAGAAAGUACUGUUUGAUUCCAUUUACAUAAAAUUCUAGAAGACGCAAACAAAUCUAUAAAAACAGAAAGUAGGCCAAGGAUUGCCUGGGGACGGGGGUGGAGGAGGGGUGGGUUGUAAACAGGAGGGCACGAGGCGACUUUGGGGGCAAUGGAAAUGCUUGCCAUCUUGAUUGUGGUGAUGGUCUCAACGGACCACCUUCAUAAAGAUGUGAAAAGGGGGGAAAAUCACCAGGCCUAUAAGUGAACCCAACCAAAUCUUUAGGGAACGAUCACUCCGAUGCUAUUUAAAGCAUUUCAGUGCACAGAGAAAGAAGGAAAACUUCCAAAUUCCUUUUGUGAAACUAGCAUAAUUCUGAUACAGAAAACCUGGCAAAAGGGGCCCAUUAAUGAGUGUGCCGCUCUGCGCACACCUGUGGAGUUAUUAUUGACUCUGUAAAUCAGCUACACUGCAGUUGACCUACUUUCACAAUUUUUUUCUGUCUUUAGUUUCCAGAAAUUUAAUUGCAUUGUGUGUUCCUGUGGAUCUCUUUGGAUGCAUUCUGUUUGGGGAAAGCAGCAAGCAGGUUUACCAGAUGGGAUCAAGAGGGAAGAGGAAGGAGGCCAGCCUUGGAGGCUGAUCCCAGUGAGAGGGCUUCUCCUAGAGGGGUGCCAGGGCCAGGAGCCUCCAAGACCUGUGCGUGGGCUCACUGAUGCCCCUCUCGCCUCUCUCUGCUUGUCCCUCCCACCCUGACCCACCUGCUGCUCUCCACGCCCAUGGCUCCCACCUUUGUUUGUAUCUCCACUGUCUCUUGCCUUUUCUUUAAAAAUCUGACAGUCUCUGAGCCCCCUCUCCCUGCAAUCCAUCCUCCAUGAUGCCAGAAAUCCAAUUAUGUAACAGAGCUAGGAUCCAGCCACUCCUCUGCUCGCUUCCUGUUAGGGGCUGUGCUGCGUCUCCUUCUCCACCCCAGAAAUUUUUAUGUUGAAGUCCUAAUCCCCAGUAUAUCAGAGCAUGCCCAUAUCUGGAGAUAGGGCCUCUAAAGAGAUAGUCAAGUUAAAAUGAGGCUGUUAAGGUGGACCCUCAUCCAAUCUGACUGGAGGUCUUAUAAAAGGAGGAGAUUGGACACACAGAGACCCCAGGGCUAGGCAUAUUCAGAGGAGAGACUGUGAAGACACAGUGAGAAGGUGACCACCUGCAAGCCGAGGAGAGAGGCCCUGGGAGAACCCAAACUUGCCAACACCUUGAUCUUAGACUUCCGGCCUCCCGAAUUGUUAGAAAAUAAAUGUCUGUUGCUUAAGCCCCCUAGUCUGUGUAUUUUGUCAUGGAAGCUCUAGCAAACUAAUACUGUCCUCAUCUCAGACUCUGCUCUCCUGUGGCCCACAGAACAGGUGCAAACUUAGGACUGCACAGCCCAGCACCGCAGCCUCCUUCCCCGCAAUGCUCUAGCAACGCUGAAAGGGCUGCACCAAGUUGUUCAUGUCUCUGCGUCUCUGCAAUGCCACUCCCUCUGCCUGGGGCAGCCUCCCCUCCUUCUUGUCAACAGGCAGAGGCUCUGCUCUGCAGGUCUGACUUGUACAUCCACCACCUGCACUCAGCAUAGGACCUGGCACUGGGCAGAUGCCCCUGAAGGCUUAGAGGGAGGAAACAGAAAUGUCAGAGGGGCUGCAUUGGUGGACACAGGCAGGCCGGCUUUGUGGUCGUACCACCUGCGACUUACACAGCUUCCAAGUAUCUCUUAUUUAGGUCAAUGUUUUCUUCUUCUUCUUUUUUUUUUUUUCUUGAUGCCCAGUAAAGUUCAACUUUAUUGUAAAUUUUUUGUUUUUUGAGUCGGGGUCUCACUCUGCUGCCCAGGCUGGAGUGCAGUGGUGUAAUCAUAGCUCACUGCAGCCUGAACUCCUGGGCUCAAGUGAUCCUCCUGCCCAAAGUUU
rnacentral:lncRNA from 10 species